UGGCUCAGUGGUAAAUCAUCUGCUUGGCAUACAGAAGGUCCCAGGUUCAAUUCCCAGCAUCAGAA
rnacentral:tRNA from 1 species